rnacentral:rRNA from 1 species
GAGCUUGCUCCCUGAUGUUAGCGGCGGACGGGUGAGUAACACGUGGGUAACCUGCCUGUAAGACUGGGAUAACUCCGGGAAACCGGGGCUAAUACCGGAUGGUUGUUUGAACCGCAUGGUUCAAACAUAAAAGGUGGCUUCGGCUACCACUUACAGAUGGACCCGCGGCGCAUUAGCUAGUUGGUGAGGUAACGGCUCACCAAGGCGACGAUGCGUAGCCGACCUGAGAGGGUGAUCGGCCACACUGGGACUGAGACACGGCCCAGACUCCUACGGGAGGCAGCAGUAGGGAAUCUUCCGCAAUGGACGAAAGUCUGACGGAGCAACGCCGCGUGAGUGAUGAAGGUUUUCGGAUCGUAAAGCUCUGUUGUUAGGGAAGAACAAGUACCGUUCGAAUAGGGCGGUACCUUGACGGUACCUAACCAGAAAGCCACGGCUAACUACGUGCCAGCAGCCGCGGUAAUACGUAGGUGGCAAGCGUUGUCCGGAAUUAUUGGGCGUAAAGGGCUCGCAGGCGGUUUCUUAAGUCUGAUGUGAAAGCCCCCGGCUCAACCGGGGAGGGUCAUUGGAAACUGGGGAACUUGAGUGCA